rnacentral:rRNA from 1 species
GAUGAACGCUGGCGGCGUGCCUAAUACAUGCAAGUCGAGCGAACGGACGAGAAGCUUGCUUCUCUGAUGUUAGCGGCGGACGGGUGAGUAACACGUGGAUAACCUACCUAUAAUACUGGGAUAACUUCGGGAAACCGGAGCUAAUACCGGAUAAUAUUUUGAACCGCAUGGUUCAAAAGUGAAAGACGGUCUUGCUGUCACUUAUAGAUGGAUCCGCGCUGCAUUAGCUAGUUGGUAAGGUAACGGCUUACUAAGGCAACGAUGCAUAGCCGACCGGAGAGGGGGAUAGGCCACACUGGAACUGAGACACGGUCCAGACUCCUACGGGAGGCAGCAGUAGGGAAUCUUCCGCAAUGGGCGAAAGCCUGACGGAGCAACGCCGCGUGAGUGAUGAAGGUCUUCGGAUCGUAAAACUCUGUUAUUAGGGAAGAACAUAUGUGUAAGUAACUGUGCACAUCUUGACGGUACCUAAUCAGAAAGCCACGGCUAACUACGUG